rnacentral:tRNA from 2 species
GGCCCCGUGGUGUAGCGGUUUAAACAUGCCACCCUGUCACGGUGGAGAUCAGGGGUUCGAAUCCCCUCGGGGUCG